ACAGAGAGAGUGAUCGGCGUUAACGCUGGAUAAAACAAAGCGGUGGAGCAAGCUAGAGAAAGAACAGGAGAGGGAGCGGUAUUUCUAGCGUUAGAUAAAACAAAGCGGUGGAGCGAGCUAGAGAAAGAACAGAGAUAGGGGGCGGUGCUUCUAGCGUUAGAUAAAAAAAAGUUCCACCAACCGUCA